rnacentral:lncRNA from 1 species
CUUACAAACCAUCAAUUUCACCUUUACCUCACCCACCAAAAUCAACUUGCAUAAAACCCUUUCACACUCCUUUACCACUCCUAAAACCGGCCACCCCCUAGUGGGGUACUUUUGGGGUCUUUUAUGCAAUUACAUAAAGUUUUGAUACUUUUAUGUAUUUGCACUUUGGCCCAAAAGUUUACGUUUUUACGUUAAGGCCCUAAAACGCUAAAGGACGAAUUGUUUUGAUCCUUUAAUGAUGUUUUUACAUUAAUAAAAUUUUGGGAUCUAGUUGUAAUUA